rnacentral:rRNA from 1 species
CCUACGGGGGGCUGCAGUGGGGAAUAUUGGACAAUGGGGGGAACCCUGAUCCAGCCAUGCCGCGUGUGUGAAGAAGGCCCUCGGGUUGUAAAGCACUUUCAGUGAGGAAGAACGCCUGGUGGUUAAUACCCAUCAGGAAAGACAUCACCCACAGAAGAAGCACCGGCUAACUCCGUGCCAGCAGCCGCGGUAAUACGGAGGGUGCGAGCGUUAAUCGGAAUUACUGGGCGUAAAGCGCGCGUAGGUGGCUUGAUAAGCCGGUUGUGAAAGCCCCGGGCUCAACCUGGGAACGGCAUCCGGAACUGUCCAGCUAGAGUGCAGGAGAGGAAGGUAGAAUUCCCGGUGUAGCGGUGAAAUGCGUAGAGAUCGGGAGGAAUACCAGUGGCGAAGGCGGCCUUCUGGACUGACACUGACACUGAGGUGCGAAAGCGUGGGUAGCAAACAGGAUUAGAUACCCCAGUAGUC